rnacentral:rRNA from 1 species
UACGAAGGGGGCUAGCGUUGCUCGGAAUCACUGGGCGUAAAGCGCACGUAGGCGGAUUGCUAAGUCAGGGGUGAAAUCCUGGAGCUCAACUCCAGAACUGCCUUCGAUACUGGCGAUCUAGAGUCCGGAAGAGGUGAGUGGAACUCCUAGUGUAGAGGUGGAAUUCGUAGAUAUUAGGAAGAACACCAGUGGCGAAGGCGGCUCACUGGUCCGGUACUGACGCUGAGGUGCGAAAGCGUGGGGAGCAAACAGG